GUGGGUCUGACCAACACACACAGCUGUUAUAGAGGAGAGAGACAGCACUGGCCAGGUGCAAGUGGCUGGAGCAAGAUCUCCUGCAGACGAGAGACUUCAGCAAACAAGCCAGACUUCAGCAAACAACUGAAGACACCUGACGGCCAAAAACAAUGAAGAACGUGCUCCGAAGGAGGACGUAGAGGUGGUCCAGAGAGAGAGAGAGACAGGGCCCUGGAGCGCAGCCAACAGCUGGAGGAGGAAAUACAAACACUAUGCACGUGACACACACAUACACUUCCUCUUUAAGAUGUCUGUAUCUGCAUAGUGAAGGUUCUCCGAUAACAGGAAUAUAUGGUUUAGUGCUGCUUGAAACAUUGGUAUAAUUUCUGCUAGGGUUAUACAGCUCCAAAUAGUGGAUUUAAAGGCACAAUCGUGAAAUAUGAUAAGACUCAUAUUAGACUUAGAUGUGACUUAGAAUCUUAGUGGAAAGUCAUUUAUGAAAUCAAAUAAACCUGCUCACUCACUCGUGCAUUUUUCCAAUAGUACAUUGUUAUACCGUUGGUUUAGGGGACACAAUUUAGUUCAACAAAAAAGUAUCCCGUCAUCAUUAUUGUGAUAAUUGUAAAAUACUGAACCUAGUAAUAAAGUAUGUUGUUCCUGGGUACUUUCUGAUCCCAUUCUGCACAAAUACUACUAGCCACAGAGCGAGAACUACACAUUCAUA
rnacentral:lncRNA from 1 species